UGGCUCAGACGGCAAAGUGUCUGCCUACAAUGCAGGAGACCCGGGUUCGAUCCCCGG
rnacentral:tRNA from 1 species